rnacentral:rRNA from 1 species
AUUGAACGCUGGCGGAAUGCUUUACACAUGCAAGUCGAACGGCAGCACGGGAGCUUGCUCCUGGUGGCGAGUGGCGAACGGGUGAGUAAUGCGUCGGAACGUACCGAGUAAUGGGGGAUAACGCAGCGAAAGUUGUGCUAAUACCGCAUACGCCCUUUGGGGGGAAGCAGGGGAUCGCAAGACCUUGCGUUAUUCGAGCGGCCGACGUCUGAUUAGCUAGUUGGUGGGGUAAAGGCUCACCAAGGCGACGAUCCGUAACUGGUCUGAGAGGAUGAUCAGUCACACUGGAACUGAGACACGGUCCAGACUCCUACGGGAGGCAGCAGUGGGGAAUAUUGGACAAUGGGCGAAAGCCUGAUCCAGCCAUGCCGCGUGUGUGAAGAAGGUCUUCGGAUUGUAAAGCACUUUAAGUCGGGAGGAAGGGCUGCAGGUUAAUACCUUGCAGCCUUGACGUUACCGACAGAAUAAGCACCGGCUAACUUCGUGCCAGCAGCCGCCGUAAGAC